GAAAUGCGAUAAGUAAUGUGAAUUGCAGAAUUCAGUGAAUCAUCGAAUCUUUGAACGCACAUUGCGCCCGCCAGUAUUCUGGCGGGCAUGCCUGUUCGAGCGUCAUUUCAACCAUCAAGCCCCGGGCUUGUGUUGGGGACCUGCGGCUGCCCGCAGGCCCUGAAAAACAGUGGCGGGCUCGCUGUCACACCGAGCGUAGUAGCAUACAUUCUCGCUCAGGGCGUGCUGCGGGUUCCGGCCGUUAAACGACCUUCAUAACCCAAGGUUGACCUCGGAUCAGGUAGGAAGACCCGCUGAACUUAAGC
rnacentral:misc_RNA from 1 species